GUUAUAAUAGUUUAAGAAAAACAUUAAUUUUGUAAAUUAAUAUUAUAUAAUUUUAUUUAUAACA
rnacentral:tRNA from 1 species